AUACCUGUGUUGAUGUCUUCCACAUUAAAUUGAACCAUUAAAGAGAAAUUAGCCUGGUCCCUGCACAAAGAGAACCUGAACGUUCAUAAAGUGUUUCUUUUUCUU
rnacentral:snRNA from 1 species